rnacentral:rRNA from 1 species
UACGGGGGGUGCGAGCGUUGUCCGGAAUCACUGGGCGUAAAGGGCGCGUAGGUGGCAUGAUAAGGGUGUGGUGAAAGCCCGGGGCUCAACCCCGGGUCUGCCAUGCCGACUGUCACGCUAGAGUACUGUAGGGGCAGGCGGAAUUCCGGGUGUAGCGGUGGAAUGCGUAGAUAUCAGGUGGAACACCGAUGGCGAAGGCAGCCUCCUGGACGGGUACUGACGCUGAGGCGCGAAAGCGUGGGGAGCGAACGGG